rnacentral:lncRNA from 1 species
UUUUUCUUUUUUUUCUUUUUUUUUUGAGACACGGUCUCACUCUGCCCCCUGGGCUGGAGUAGAAUGGCACGAUAAUAGCUCACUGAAGCCUCAACCUCCCAAGCUAAAGCAAUCUCCUCACCUCAGCCUCUUGAGCAGCUGGGACCACAGGUGCACGCCACCACGCCUGGCUAACUUUUGUAUUUUUGUAGAGAUGGGGUUUCACAAUGUUGCCCAGGCUGGUCUCGAACUCCUAGGCUCAAGCAAUCCACCUGCCUCAACCUCCCAAAGUGCUGGGACUACAGGCGAGAGCCACUGUGCCUGGCCCCACGUGCAUCUCUUUAAUUAGGGAGGAAAGUAUUUUCCUGAAGCUGCCUGAAGAUAUCCCCUUACAAGUCCCAAGUCAAAACUGGGUCAGGGAGCCCUCUACACAGCAUCUGCUACACCCCAUUUCUAGUUCAUAAGAUCCACUGAUGUCCCAGUGGAUUAGGCAUUGGGUCACUUGGAAACCAUUCCCCUCUAUCCCUACUCCUCCCGUGCAGUCUUUAAGUACCUCUGUUGGUUAUCUUUUUAAUUUCAAGAAACUUACUUGCCCCUUCGUUCCUUAUUCCACCACAUGCCCACAGAAGCUCUUGCCUCCCCACUAUUGUCCCUGUCAGCCUUCCUACCCUCUUCCCUUCACUGCUACCUCCCAACUUUUAUAUCUUUACUUUCACAUUGUGACAGAUGAUAACGCUGACAUUCCAUUCUGCAACCAUAAUAAAAUUCAGGUCAAUACAAAAGUUGAAUAUUAAUGAAAACUAGAAAGAUAACAUUUUCAUUAUUUGAGACAACUAUACCAUAUAUUUCCUUUGGGUACCUAUAUAUGUAAGUUUUUAGAAACGUCUAGAAAAGUACACAUUGAGCCCAUUACUGUGGUUACCUCUGGAGAGGAGGAAGGGAAUAGGGUGGCAAUGGGUGGCCCAAAGGGACUCUAGCUUCAUCUGCAAUGUUCUCUUUUUUUAAAAAGCGGAAUGUAUUCAUGUUUUGCUUGUGUCAUUUGACUGCAAUUUUCAAAAAAAUUCCUAUUCAUUUUCAGGCAAUUAUGUGGGCUCCGUGUGUUUGGAUGUGCUUGAGUGUUUGUGCCCAGGGAGGAGGACUAUUUACUUUGUGUGUGCCUGUGAAUGCAGUAGAGUGAUUAGUAAGUAGAUAAAAAAGAAAUGUAGCAAGCCAAAGCAAAACAAAAAAGGGGGCUGGAGAGAACUAAUUCACAACAAUAAUAAAAACUAUAGGAAUAAACCCAUUAGGAAAUGGGCAAGUUCUUUAUGGGGAGAACAACAGUGUAUGAGUGAAGGACAUACAAGCUAUUAAGAAUAAAUGUAGAGCUCUACUGUAUUCAUGAAUUCAAAGGCUCGGUAUUAUAUUGAUGUCAAUUUCUCCAACUUGACAAGCUGGCUUUACAAUUCAUGUGGAGAAGUUAGUGUGUGGUUCUAGUUAGGUAAGAAAGCUGAGAAGGAAAUUAGUGUGUGGUACUAGUUAGCUAAGAGAGCUGAGAAGGAAGCACAACGAAACAUGGCAUUUUACUUCACAGAUACCAAGAGGUGGAAUAGCAAAGAAAAUAGUCUUGUACUGAAAGGAAUACAUGGAUUGUUGGGAAAAACAGGAGCUUCAGACCCACCUGACUCAGAAUAUGAGGGAGUUUUACUUCGGAUCACAGGGGAAAGGAAGAACUAGUCAACCCCCCACACUGCGAUAAUUGGCUGCCCGUUUGGAGAAAGGUUAGAGCAUACAUCAAUAUGAUCAUCAAAAUAUACUCCAGAUGCAUUAAAGAACCAAAUAAAAACAAAAUUAUAAAAGUAUUAGAAAAGAAGAAAUAAUAUAUUUAAAUAUUAGGAGUAGGGAAGGACUAAAUAUGGUAUCCGUAUAAAAAAAGAUCAAAGGAAAAGAUUGACAAAUUGGAUUAUGUCAAAACUGAUAACUUCUAACAAAAGAUUCUACAAAGAGUUAAAGGCAAUGACAAGCUGGAAGAAAAUAUUUGUCACAUAUCUACAAAAGAUCAAUAUCCAGAUUACAUUAGAAAACUCCACAAGCCAGUGGGAUAAAGACAACCUAAUGUUUAAAAUGAGAAAAAAUAACAGGCAGUUCAGAAAAGAGAAAAUACAAAUGCUCAAUAUACAUAUGAAAAUCUCACAAGCAAACAGGAAAAUACAAAUUUUAAAAAGGAUUCAAUUUUUCACCCAUGAGAUUGGCAAAUAUUUAAAACAACCGCCUACGGCUGUGGGGAUUAUAGCCCUCUCAUACCCUCUGGCUGGAAGCUUAAAUGGCACAGAAAUCAUGGAGGACACUGGUAGUGUCUGCUAAAACUAAAACUGUGGACAUCUUGAGACCCAGCAUUCCAUUUCUCUAUCACUCCCAGAGAUAUCCCACCACAGAGGAACAUGCAAUGUGGUUUCUGCAGCACUGCUCAUGAUGGAGGAAACAAAAAGAAGCAAUUAAAUGUCCAUGGAGCUUACAGAAGAUAAAAUGUGGUACAUUCAUGGGAAUGAAUACAAUAUAGCUAUUAAAGGCGAAAGCUAUGUGUAGCAAUAGGAGUAUAUUGUAAAAAUGUAAGACUGAGUGAAAAAAACCUGCAGCUUAUAGUAAAAUCCCUAUAAUGUGGUAUGACUCAUUGAAAAUACAUCAGGACUAUGUGUUACUGUGGAUGGAGACACAUAAAACUGUGGAGGGGGUGGGAAAUGAGGACUCCAGAGGGUGGUCAAAGGGGACUACAGUUAUAUUCAUAUUGUCCUACUUUUAAAACGGAGAAUGUAUGCACACUUUGCUUGUUUAAUUAAAGUAUAAUUUGAAAAGAUUCUAAUUUGUUUUCAGUCAAUUAUGCUGCUUCUGUGUGUUUGGCUGUGCUCAAAUGUUUGUGCCCAGGGAGGAAGAACAUUUACUUUGUGUGUCUGUGAAUCAAGCACAGUGAUUAGUAAACAGGUUGAAAUGGGAUAUGAAAAAACAAGGGCCAAACAAACAAGAGCAGAGGGCAAUCUACUCACAGUUAACAGCAAAACCUAUAAUAUACCUAGGAAUGAAUUCAACAAGAAAUAUGCCAGGCUCUAACCAGAGAAAACCAUAAAACUGUCCUGAAAGAUGUAAAAGAUGACCUGAAUUGAGAGUAGAGCAAUGUGCUGUGGUAGGAAGGCUCUAUAUGAUAAAGAUGUCAGUUUUCCUUAAAUUUAUUCAUAAACUCAGGCCAGGUACAGUGGCUCAC